UCUACAAAUGCCCAUCUGGUUAUAAAAAAGUUCGGACUGGCAUAUGGAGACGGAGGACAAUCUGCAGGAAAAAAGCAUGUGGUGUGGGCUACAGACGAAAGAAAGGAAAAUGCCGCUUCUACAAAUGCCCAUCUGGUUAUAAAAAAGUUCGGACUGGCAUAUGGAGACGGAGGACAAUCUGCAGGAAAAAAGCAUGUGGUGUGGGCUACAGAUGGAAAAAAGGAAAAUGCCGCUUCUACAAAUGCCCAUCUGGUUAUAAAAAAGUUCGGACUGGCAUAUGGAGACGGAGGACAAUCUGCAGGAAAAAAGCAUGUGGUGUGGGCUACAGAUGGAAAAAAGGAAAAUGCCGCUUCUACAAAUGCCCAUCUGGUUAUAAAAAAGUUCGGACUGGCAUAUGGAGACGGAGGACAAUCUGCAGGAAAAAAGCAUGUGGUGUGGGCUACAGACGGAAAAAAGGAAAAUGCCGCUUCUACAAAUGCCCAUCUGGUUAUAAAAAAGUUCGGACUGGCAUAUUGAGACGGAGGACAAUCUGCAGGA